rnacentral:rRNA from 1 species
UGUUUCGGCUAGGGGGCCAUCCCGGCUUACCAACCCGAUGCAAACUGCGAAUACCGGAGAAUGUUAUCACGGGAGACACACGGCGGGUGCUAACGUCCGUCGUGAAGAGGGAAACAACCCAGACCGCCAGCUAAGGUCCCAAAGUCAUGGUUAAGUGGGAAACGAUGUGGGAAGGCCCAGACAGCCAGGAUGUUGGCUUAGAAGCAGCCAUCAUUUAAAGAAAGCGUAAUAGCUCACUGGUCGAGUCGGCCUGCGCGGAAGAUGUAACGGGGCUAAACCAUGCACCGAAGCUGCGGCAGCGAACGUAUCACUUAAAGCGAUUCAGCGGGUUACGAUUGACGGAGCGAAGCGACGUCAAAGCGUAUACAAAGUCGAGUCGGUUUAAGGAUACGUUCGUUGGGUAGGGGAGCGUUCUGUAAGCCUGUGAAGGUGGCCUGUGAGGGUUGCUGGAGGUAUCAGAAGUGCGAAUGCUGACAUAAGUAACGAUAAAGCGGGUGAAAAGCCCGCUCGCCGGAAGACCAAGGGUUCCUGUCCAACGUUAAUCGGGGCAGGGUGAGUCGACCCCUAAGGCGAGGCCGAAAGGCGUAGUCGAUGGGAAACAGGUUAAUAUUCCUGUACUUGGUGUUACUGCGAAGGGGGGACGGAGAAGGCUAUGUUGGCCGGGCGACGGUUGUCCCGGUUUAAGCGUGUAGGCUGGUUUUCCAGGCAAAUCCGGAAAAUCAAGGCUGAGGCGUGAUGACGAGGCACUACGGUGCUGAAGCAACAAAUGCCCUGCUUCCAGGAAAAGCCUCUAAGCAUCAGGUAACAUCAAAUCGUACCCCAAACCGACACAGGUGGUCAGGUAGAGAAUACCAAGGCGCUUGAGAGAACUCGGGUGAAGGAACUAGGCAAAAUGGUGCCGUAACUUCGGGAGAAGGCACGCUGACACGUAGGUGAAGUGAUUUACUCACGGAGCUGAAGUCAGUCGAAGAUACCAGCUGGCUGCAACUGUUUAUUAAAAACACAGCACUGUGCAAACACGAAAGUGGACGUAUACGGUGUGACGCCUGCCCGGUGCCGGAAGGUUAAUUGAUGGGGUCAGCGCAAGCGAAGCUCCUGAUCGAAGCCCCGGUAAACGGCGGCCGUAACUAUAACGGUCCUAAGGUAGCGAAAUUCCUUGUCGGGUAAGUUCCGACCUGCACGAAUGGCGUAAUGAUGGCCAGGCUGUCUCCACCCGAGACUCAGUGAAAUUGAACUCGCUGUGAAGAUGCAGUGUACCCGCGGCAAGACGGAAAGACCCCGUGAACCUUUACUAUAGCUUGACACUGAACAUUGAGCCUUGAUGUGUAGGAUAGGUGGGAGGCUUUGAAGCGUGGACGCCAGUCUGCGUGGAGCCGACCUUGAAAUACCACCCUUUAAUGUUUGAUGUUCUAACGUGGACCCGUUACCCGGGUUGCGGACAGUGUCUGGUGGGUAGUUUGACUGGGGCGGUCUCCUCCUAAAGAGUAACGGAGGAGCACGAAGGUUGGCUAAUCCUGGUCGGACAUCAGGAGGUUAGUGCAAUGGCAUAAGCCAGCUUGACUGCGAGCGUGACGGCGCGAGCAGGUGCGAAAGCAGGUCAUAGUGAUCCGGUGGUUCUGAAUGGAAGGGCCAUCGCUCAACGGAUAAAAGGUACUCCGGGGAUAACAGGCUGAUACCGCCCAAGAGUUCAUAUCGACGGCGGUGUUUGGCACCUCGAUGUCGGCUCAUCACAUCCUGGGGCUGAAGUAGGUCCCAAGGGUAUGGCUGUUCGCCAUUUAAAGUGGUACGCGAGCUGGGUUUAGAACGUCGUGAGACAGUUCGGUCCCUAUCUGCCGUGGGCGCUGGAGAACUGAGGGGGGCUGCUCCUAGUACGAGAGGACCGGAGUGGACGCAUCACUGGUGUUCGGGUUGUCAUGCCAAUGGCACUGCCCGGUAGCUAAAUGCGGAAGAGAUAAGUGCUGAAAGCAUCUAAGCACGAAACUUGCCCCGAGAUGAGUUCUCCCUGAGACUUAGAGUCUCCUGAAGGAACGUUGAAGACGACGACGUUGAUAGGCCGGGUGUGUAAGCGCAGCGAUGCGUUGAGCUAACCGGUACUAAUGAACCGUGAG